rnacentral:lncRNA from 1 species
AAAGACAAAAGGAGCAAGGUGUAGUUGACACCACAUUGGCCAAAUUUUAUUAUCAUCUUUGUGUCUAUGACAUCACAGCUGUGGACAUUGUCAAAGCGGUGAAACCGCUCGCUUUCUCCCCCAUCCCACUUCUUUUUGUCCCCUGCCAUCAGCUUUAUAUAAUUACUUUCACAAACUCACACUCUCUGCCUAUUAUUUGCUCGGAUGUCACGAAGCUGCGACGUUAGCUAUGUAAAGGUCCAUUGAAUUAUGUCAGUUUUCACCUGAUGAGAAUCUGGCCUUCUAAACUGAUCAAUGCAGUCCAUUGCGUUAGGAUGGGACCAUCAUACAUCUGCUUCGGAGUGACAGAAUAUAGCUACAUAUACAGACAGGACAAAAAGGGAGGGGAAAUGCCUUCCUUUUGAGACCACCCACAACCAGCAGAGUGAGGAGCACAUGGGCAUCUUCGCGGAUUCUCUAUGCAACUGCUAAUGCCCACCAGGCAGUGCACCCUCCGGGGAAGCCGCUUAGACAUGAAACUAAUAAAGACAUCUGCACGUCUCCCUGCA